AGCUCCGCUGGCUGGCCAAGGAGUCAAAUCGUUUUCGUGCGCUGCGCUGACAACAUCCUCGCAGGACCAAUAAGCGGACGAUUUAACAGCUCGUGCAAGUUCAAUGUAAAUGCGAAAAUGUAAACAAUACCAGCGCACGCGCAACAACAGAAACAACAACAUCAAAUAUA